rnacentral:rRNA from 1 species
UUAAGCAUAUCAAUAAGCGGAGGAMRARRAACUAACAAGGAUUCCCCUAGUAACUGCGAGUGAAGCGGGAAAAGCUCAAAUUUAAAAUCUGGCAGUCUWUGGCUGUCCGAGUUGUAAUCUAGAGAAGUGUUGCCUGCGCUGGACUGUGUACAAGUCUUCUGGAAUGGAGCAUCAUAGAGGGUGAGAAUCCCGUCUCUGACACAGACUACCAGGGCUUUGUGGUAUGCUCUCAAAGAGUCGAGUUGUUUGGGAAUGCAGCUCAAAACGGGUGGUAAAUUCCAUCUAAAGCUAAAUAUUGGCGAGAGACCGAUAGCGAACAAGUACCGUGAGGGAAAGAUGAAAAGAACUUUGGAAAGAGAGUUAAACAGUACGUGAAAUUGCUGAAAGGGAAACGCUUGAAGUCAGUCGUGUCGGCCAGGGAUCAGCCUUGCAUUGCAUGGUGCACUUCCUGGUUGACGGGUCAGCAUCAAUUUUGACCAUUGGAAAAAGGCUUUGGGAAUGUGGCAGCUCCUGGCUGUGUUAUAGCCCAUUGUCAUAUACAAUGGUUGGGAUUGAGGAACUCAGCAUGCCAUGAGGCCGGGUUUCGACCACGUUCAUGCUUAGGAUGCUGGCAUAAUGGCUUUAAGCGACCCGUCUUGAAACACGGACCAAGGAGUCUAACAUGCCUGCAAGUAUUUGGGUGCAAAACCCGAGUGCGUAAUGAAAGUGAAAGUUGAGAUCCCUGUCGUGGGGAGCAUCGACGCCCGGACCAGAACUUUUGGGACGGAUCCGCGGUAGAGCAUGUAUGUUGGGACCCGAAAGAUGGUGAACUAUGCCUGAAUAGGGUGAAGCCAGAGGAAACUCUGGUGGAGGCUCGUAGCGAUUCUGACGUGCAAAUCGAUCGUCAAAUUUGGGUAUAGGGGCGAAAGACUAAUCGAACCAUSYWKUAGCUGGUUCCUGCAGAUCAU